rnacentral:rRNA from 1 species
ACGGAAGGCAGCAGUGGGGAAUAUUGGGCAAUGGGCGAAAGCCUGACCCAGCAACGCCGCGUGAAGGAAGAAGGUCUUCGGAUUGUAAACUUCUUUUAUCAGGGACGAAGAAAGUGACGGUACCUGAUGAAUAAGCCACGGCUAACUACGUGCCAGCAGCCGCGGUAAUACGUAGGUGGCGAGCGUUAUCCGGAUUUACUGGGUGUAAAGGGCGCGUAGGCGGGGAUGCAAGUCAGAUGUGAAAUCCAUGGGCUUAACCCAUGAACUGCAUUUGAAACUGUAUCCCUUGAGUAUCGGAGAGGCAGGCGGAAUUCCUAGUGUAGCGGUGAAAUGCGUAGAUAUUAGGAGGAACACCAGUGGCGAAGGCGGCCUGCUGGACGACAACUGACGCUGAGGCGCGAAAGCGUGGGGAGCAAACAGGAUUAGAUACCCUGGUA